CAACAGGUUAUGGCAAUGAUACGAGUAUAUUUGUUACUUCUCUAGAAACCCUAGGUUUUCUGGCUCAUAAUUUUUUCACAUUACUGUAUUUUUUUCCUUAGUUAUUUUCUGAUCUCCUCUCUUUUUUUCACAAGUUCCAAACGAAGCAUUGGAGAUUCACUGGGUUAUUUAUUUAUUUAUUUAGCAAAUCUUCUUUUAAAGCUCCGUCUGUUUGGACCGAAAUAUCUUCUGCAAAACUAUUGUCCCAAUUUAGGAACUUUGUCCACAUAAACUUGGGAGUAAAAUGUUUUAUCCCAACAGAAGGAAAAUGGCUUAC